rnacentral:rRNA from 1 species
UUGAUCCUGCCAGUAGUCAUAUGCUUGUCUCAAAGAUUAAGCCAUGCAUGUCUCAGUACAAGCCACAUUAAGGUGAAACCGCGAAAGGCUCAUUAAAUCAGUUAUGGUUCCUUAGAUCGUACCCACAUUUACUUGGAUAACUGUGGUAAUUCUAGAGCUAAUACAUGCAAACAGAGUUCCGACCGGAGACGGGAGGAAUGCUUUUAUUAGAUCAAAACCAAUCGGCGGCGGGUGCGCUCGCGCGUCCGUUCGCCGCUCAACCUGGUGACUCUGAAUAACUUUCGGCUGAUCGCACGGUCCAGCACCGGCGACGCAUCUUUCAAAUGUCUGCCUUAUCAACUGUCGAUGGUAGGUUCUGCGCCUACCAUGGUCGUAACGGGUAACGGGGAAUCAGGGUUCGAUUCCGGAGAGGGAGCCUGAGAAACGGCUACCACAUCCAAGGAAGGCAGCAGGCGCGCAAAUUACCCACUCCCGGCACGGGGAGGU